rnacentral:rRNA from 1 species
UACGGAGGGGGCUAGCGUUGUUCGGAAUUACUGGGCGUAAAGCGCGCGUAGGCGGAUCUGCAAGUCGGGGGGUGAAAUCCCGAGGCUCAACCUCGGAACUGCCUUCGAUACUGCGGGUCUCGAGUCCGGGAGAGGUGAGUGGAAUUCCUAGUGUAGAGGUGAAAUUCGUAGAUAUUGGGAAGAACACCAGUGGCGAAGGCGACUAUCUGGACCGACAUUGACGCUGAGGCGGCGAAAAGCGUGGGGAGCAAACAGG